rnacentral:rRNA from 1 species
UACGAAGGGGGCUAGCGUUGCUCGGAAUCACUGGGCGUAAAGCGCACGUAGGCGGAUUCUUAAGUCAGGGGUGAAAUCCUGGAGCUCAACUCCAGAACUGCCUUUGAUACUGAGGAUCUUGAGUACGGGAGAGGUGAGUGGAACUGCGAGUGUAGAGGUGAAAUUCGUAGAUAUUCGCAAAGAACACCAGUGGCGAAGGCGGCUCACUGGCCCGUAACUGACGCUGAGGCACGAAAGCGUGGGGAGCAAACAGGG